rnacentral:rRNA from 1 species
UACGUAGGGCGCAAGCGUUGUCCGGAAUUAUUGGGCGUAAAGAGCUCGUAGGUGGCUUGUCGCGUCGGUUGUGAAAGCCCACAGCUUAACUGUGGGUCUGCAUUCGAUACGGGCAGGCUAGAGGUAGGUAGGGGAGAACGGAAUUCCUGGUGUAGCGGUGAAAUGCGCAGAUAUCAGGAGGAACACCGGUGGCGAAGGCGGUUCUCUGGGCCUUACCUGACGCUGAGGAGCGAAAGCGUGGGGAGCGAACAGG